rnacentral:lncRNA from 1 species
CCACCGCCUUCUGGGGUGACAGGUGGCAGCCACCCUCAGUGAUGUCCCAUCCCUGCCCACCAAAGUGGAAGAGGCACUCGCCAGCCCUGAGUUGAGGCACCAUCCUUUCUGGCCCAGCGGUGGCCUGGUGCUCUGCAGGCUGGCCCUGGGUGGGAAGCGCAGUGCCUCCCUCCUCAGGGUUGCCGUAGGUCCAGGACGGCUGGACCGGGAUCGUCCUCCUCUGCUCCCUUCUGGUGCUCAAACCCAGCAGGGCCUGAGUCUUGAAUGCCAGGCAGAAGCCAGCCAGCCCUCUGCACACCUGGCCAGCUUCUCUGCAGCCUCGAGGCCCACAGAUGAGGUGCAGCAGGCGUCUGCCCCUCACGGGCACCCUGUGUGACACAGCCAGCUCUCCGGGGCUCCGUGCAGCGGCCUUUCACAUGCAGAAAGCGAG